rnacentral:rRNA from 1 species
UACGGGGGGGGCAAGCGUUGUUCGGAAUUACUGGGCGUAAAGGGCUCGUAGGUGGCCAACUAAGUCGGACGUGAAAUCCCUCAGCUUAACUGGGGAACUGCGUCCGAUACUGGAUGGCUUGAGUUUGGGAGAGGGAUGCGGAAUUCCAGGUGUAGCGGUGAAAUGCGCAGAUAUCAGGAGGAACACCGGUGGCGAAGGCGGGUCUCUGGGCAACAACUAACGCUGAGGAGCGAAAGCGUGGGGAGCGAACAGG